rnacentral:rRNA from 1 species
AGAGUUUGAUCCUGGCUCAGGAUGAACGCUGGCGGCGUGCCUAACACAUGCAAGUCGAGCGAUUCUCUUCGGAGAAGAGCGGCGGACGGGUGAGUAACGCGUGGGUAACCUGCCUCAUACACAUGGAUAACAUACCGAAAGGUAUGCUAAUACAGGAUAAUAUAAGAGAUUCACAUGGAUUUCCUAUCAAAGCUCCGGCGGUAUGAGAUGGACCCGCGUCUGAUUAGCUAGUUGGUAAGGUAACGGCUUACCAAGGCGACGAUCAGUAGCCGACCUGAGAGGGUGAUCGGCCACAUUGGAACUGAGACACGGUCCAAACUCCUACGGGAGGCAGCAGUGGGGAAUAUUGCACAAUGGGCGAAAGCCUGAUGCCAGCAACGCCGCGUGAGUGAUGAAGGCCUUCGGGUCGUAAAACUCUGUCCUCAAGGAAGAUAAUGACGGUACUUGAGGAGGAAGCCCCGGCUAACUACGUGCCAGCAGCGGC